GUCGUUGCGAUAGUAAUCCUGCUCAGUACGAGAGGAACCGCAGGUUCGGACAUUUGGUUCACGCACUCGGUUCGAGCCAUCCGUGGGAUUAUGCCUGAACGCCUCUAAGAUCGUAUCCUUUCUAGCCAAAGGGGGCAGCGAU
rnacentral:ncRNA from 1 species